CCUACGGGAGGCAGCAGUGAGGAAUAUUGGACAAUGGGCGCGAGCCUGAUCCAGCCAUGCCGCGUGCAGGAAGACUGCCCUAUGGGUUGUAAACUGCUUUUAUACGGGAAGAAACCCAUCUACGUGUAGGUGGCUGACGGUACCGUAAGAAUAAGCAUCGGCUAACUCCGUGCCAGCAGCCGCGGUAAUACGGAGGAUGCAAGCGUUAUCCGGAAUCAUUGGGUUUAAAGGGUCCGUAGGUGGACAAUUAAGUCAGAGGUGAAAUCCUGCAGCUCAACUGUAGAAUUGCCUUUGAUACUGGUUGUCUUGAAUUAUUGUGAAGUGGUUAGAAUAUGUAGUGUAGCGGUGAAAUGCAUAGAUAUUACAUAGAAUACCAAUUGCGAAGGCAGAUCACUAACAAUAUAUUGACACUGAUGGACGAAAGCGUGGGGAGCGAACGGGAUUAGAUACCCUGGUAGUC
rnacentral:rRNA from 1 species